AAAGAAAAAGCCAGAUUCUUGCUCAAGCUUGUGAACUGUUUCUUUGAACUUCUCCUCAUCUAGAAACUGUAAGAUCAAGAAUACAAGCUCUCUACUGAGAGAUGACAUUGCUACUACCUCGUCUCCAAGCCCAGAACUAUUAUGUAAAAACAGUGUUUGUGCAGAUGCUUUGUUUACAGAGCAGAUAGAUCCAUGGAAGAAGAUGGGAGGAGAAAAACGAAAACCCACAGAGAUAAUGCAAA
rnacentral:misc_RNA from 1 species